AGUAGAUCGGGAUACUCUUCAAAUAAUUAUGAAAUGCCGAGAUCGGUAUUCAUACCAAUGGCGGGCCUCGACCGAAAGGUGUUCACUCUGUGGACCGGAGGAUUACAAAGGUAUGGAUGCUCUCAAAUCCUGUUUUUUUCGGAGUUUCAUCACAUCCUUUGAUGUGGCUUUUUU
rnacentral:sRNA from 1 species